rnacentral:rRNA from 1 species
AAACGUAGGUGGCAAGCGUUGUCCGGAUUUACUGGGUGUAAAGGGAGCGCAGGCGGAUCGUCAAGUCAAAUGUGAAAUGCAGGGGCUCAACCCCUGAACUGCGUUUGAUACUGAAGGUCUUGAGUGGAGUAGGGGCAGGCGGAAUUCCCGGUGUAGCGGUGGAAUGCGUAGAUAUCGGGAGGAAUCCCGGUAGCGAAGGCGGCCUUCUGGGCUCUAACUGACGCGGAGGCUAGAAAGCGCGGGGAGCAACCAGGAUUAGAUACCCUGGUAGUCCACGCCCUAAACGAUGCUUACUAGGUGUGGGGGGACUGACCCCCUCCGUGCCGUAGUUAACACAAUAAGUAAGCCACCUGGGGAGUACGACAGCAAGGUUGAAACUCAAAUGAAUUGACGGGG